rnacentral:lncRNA from 1 species
UUAUACACAUCCUAUGUACAUGCCACAUUACCAAAAGAAAAUAUACAUCACCAAAAGUUUGCUGAAAUCGGGUCUGGCUUUUGAUGCUGGUUCAAUAUUUGACUUCUACAACCUGCGCACGGAAACAACCGUAUGCUGAGUCUGCAUUACUCAGUGGUAUCACUAUAAUUCAAUUUAUAAUUAAAUACAUUAAAUCACACACAUACUUUUACAUUACAAUUAUCAUCACUUAAUGAACAAUUCAAUCUUUUGAUGUUAUCAUUUGAUUAUAUAUAUACCAUUCUUAUUUCUUUAUUUCAAUUCUCACCUUUCACAUAUACCAUAUUAUUCAAAUUUAGUUUUAUCAAUAAAUUUAUUUUAUUUGUCCCUAUUAACUUGACUCGGACUUAGUGGAUACAUGGAUUCCAACCAACACACCAGUACGACACAUUGUGCCUUAACGGUACACAGUACCUAAACAGUAAUCAGUAAUGGUAGCAGUAACAGUAUCAAUAAAGGUAACAGUAUUCGACACACAAAGUGUCGAAUCGGUAAUAGUAACUGUAACAGUAACAAUAGUCGGCACAUAAGUGCCUGAUCAGUAAGCCGGAAAAAACCCGUACUCUUCCAUAUCCUAUGGCAUGCGUACUAUAUCCGACUAGUUAAUAGGGUACUCAAAUCAUUUUUCAGUACAAUUUCUCAAUAUUAAUUAUAAUUUAUUAUUUCGAUCAAUUUUCACAGUAAUACAGUAAUUCGUUUCAUCAAAAAUUUUACAGUUCAAUGCAGUAUACGUAACAAUAUUCAGUAAUUUCACAGUUCAAUUCGGUAUUCAAAACAAUAUUCAAUAUCCCAUAAUUCAGUUCAGUAUUAAUCUCAAUUUUAAUACCCAAUCACAAAUUUUAUCAGAUCAUUAAAUACUUACCUUAAAAUACGUACUUGCCACACAUACAUAUUAAAUUAAAUACAUAUUAAUUAUAAAGCUUGAGUUAUAGUGAUACAAACCAGAAUUCUCUUCGGAUUUAAUCCUCGACGAUCUUUUCUUUUCCUUUUUGGGCUGAUGCUUCAGGCUCGAUAUUAGCUAGAAAACAAUUAAAAUAAUUUCACAAUUAUUAACACAACACAAUUUAAUUGCUGAAAUUUUUAUCUAACUUUUUACUUUAAUUUCAAAUUUAAUCCUAACUAAACCUAUAUAUUUUUCUUUCUCAAUUCAUACCUUUUUGCUACUCAAUUUCUUGCCAAACUCACAUUUAAUUAUUUAAUUUUUAUCAUAUUUUCAUAAUUUCAAAUUUAUUUCAAUUUAAUCCCUAAAACUCAAAACUUAUAAGUUAGUUUACAAUUCAAUUCUUUAUUCAAUUCCAAUCAAAAUUUCUAUCAAAUAAACCCCCAAUUCCAUUAUUUUUUCAACAUAAACCCUACUAAAAAAUCUAUUAGCUUUCAAAAUUUCAACUUAAAUUCAACAAAACUUUAUUCUAGAGCUUCUAAAACAUCAAAAUUAAAAAAAUGACUUAAUUAAGCUUACCAAUUAAACUCCAAGCUUCAAAUUCCCUACUUCCCCUUUUUCUUUCUUU